rnacentral:lncRNA from 1 species
CCACAAAGGAAGAGAUACUGAGUUCAUAGGAAGUGAAGAUGGUUUCCUAUCUGCUGAUACUCUCUGGAAAACUCAAACCACUUUAUUAUUAAUUUUUCCAAGGCAGCUAUACAUAUACUUGCUUGUGAUCCUGUACUUAAGCCUAGUCUUUGGUAAGCAGGUAUGCAAAGAUGACUAAAGUAAGUGGCAAAUACAGCAGGUGAGAAAGCUAGAACAAGAGCAGUGUGGACUAGCAGACAAUCCAGGAAGAACUAAAGUUUACAUGGACGUCCAUAGUGAAAAGCCACAGGAGAUGGCCACCUGAACCCAAUGCAUCUCUUAUAAUUAAUUUCAAAUAAGAAUGUUAGAAAACACAUUUCUGUUCUCUGGAACAAUGCUAUAUUGGACGAAGCUAGCCAACAAAUCUGUUAGUAAUUAUAAAAUACCUGAAGCACUUUGUAUUUGCAAUAAAACAUAUACAAAUGCUUUGUAUUAUUUUAACCAAUAAAAAGGAAAGAAUUUAAAUAGAUUUUUAUGUACCCUGAUAUUUAAACCUACUCACACUGCUAAUUUGGACCUCAAAUUUUGACUUGAAACUCAGUCUUCAUUUUUUCUUUUUUGACCGCUACGUAACUUCCUCUUUGGUCUACAUCUCUCCUGGUUUAUGAGGCAGAGUUUCAGACAGAUGACCUGAGCUGGCAGAUCUACUUAAUGUGGUCCUGUAAGUUUAAAUGCUCAGUGGAAGGUUGAAGAAUCUUCCAGAAAGAAGAAAGGAGCCUCAGAGACAGAGACCUGUCUCCCCAGAGGAGAUGGAGACAGAGUGGAGCCUGACUGCCUGGAGUCGUUCUGCUGGGAGAAAGCCUGGUUGCUGUGGCACAUGCGUGGCAGGCUGGAAAUGAUACCCUGUGCACUUUACAAGAGGCAUCUGCUUCUAGAGAGGGCCUCAGGCUGCGUUCACAUAUGGCAGAAGAUGAAGGGGGGCCAGUGUAUGCACAGAUCACAUGACGAGAGACGAAGCACCUCCACUUCUGAAUGGGAGCCUAACUCUACCAAGAGGAGCAAAAACUGGACACUGUGUAACUUCGCAGAAUUAGCAACACGGACCCGUUACACAUGGCAGCACUGUGCAGUGGUUGGAAGUGCAGCCUUCAAAGCCAACUGCUUGGAUUUGGAAUCUUGCUCUUCCAUUCACAAGCUCUGCAACCUCAAUCACAUACAGACAGGCAAUGCUAACCCAAUGGGAGGAGUGGAAAGAUCAUCUGAGGAAAAUAGCUGUGCUGGUUGGGGAAGUGGCUGGCUGGUUCAAGGCUGUGCUGCCUUGAAAACAAUAAAGGUUUCACUUGAACAAAUGGUAAAUUUUCCUGUCCUUGAAAUGUUUUUUAUGCCACUUUUAAUCACUAAGUGGUGUCAGAAAACAUCAUUCAUUUU